rnacentral:rRNA from 1 species
UACAGAGGGUGCGAGCGUUAAUCGGAAUUACUGGGCGUAAAGCGCGCGUAGACGGUUUUGUAAGUCAGAUGUGAAAUCCCCGGGCUCAACCUGGGAACUGCAUCUGUGACUGCAUUGCUGGAGUGCGGCAGAGGGGGAUGGAAUUCCGGCGUGUAGCAGUGAAAUGCGUAGAUAUGCGGAGGAACACCGAUGGCGAAGGCAAUCCCCUGGGCCUGCACUGACGCUCAUGCACGAAAGCGUGGGGAGCAAACAGG